ACCAGUCUUAUUCGCACUUUGUUUUAUCUGUGUGUAUUGAUCAGGUGUACAGGUCGCACCAGAUUCGAGGCUUCUUUAGAUUUGACGCUCUAUAACAGAAGGAAACACUGUCACAC